rnacentral:lncRNA from 1 species
UUGUUCUUCUCUGCACUGCUUGUGCAUUUGACACUGAAUGAGCCAAAAGGGAACUCGUGAAAAAUAAGAUUGUUAGUUACUGUAAUACGGUGGAGAAAAGCGAUUUGCUUUCAUUACCAGUUGAAGCAUCCACAAGGUUUCUAGUGACCCCGAGAACAUGCUGUUUUUUCCCAUCUGCUUGUCCACCCUUGUGCUUACAUCUUGCCAUAUGCUAGAAAAAUAAGAAAACAACAUUAAAAUUAGUCGUCAAAUGGAUCAAUAUUAGCAGAUCUGAAAGGGAAACAAUUCAAAGGAGGAAAGAAAACACAUGUGCUACUUUACAUUCACAUGAUCUUUUCUCAUUUUUUUCAAAAAUGGAACUACUCUUAAGAUGGAACUAUACGUUUGUUCUUUCUCCGAAAUCACUUUCAAGUUGUCAUUGCUCCACAUAUAGGCUCUCUUUGUUAUUUUUCUAAGUCAUUCACAAUACAACUCUCAAGUCAAAUUCAAAAUUCAAAAUAAAAAUAACUCCAACUAUAGCGAGCUCAAACUUUGCACAAAUAGAAAAAAAUUGACAAAUUCUAAAAGAACGAAAACCCACAAAAAGCUCCAGAUGCACUACAGUACUACAUCACACGGUCUAGUACAUAUACAUUUUCAAAACAUACAUCAUUAUAUAACACGAAAUUAGGAACAUGAAAGUGCAAAAUUCUACCAUAAAGUACUCAAAAAACAGAAAAUACACGAUAAAAGAACUGGAAAUAAAAUAACCUAACAGAUUGUGACUACAAAAAACGUGAACUUGCAAAGAGGAAAAGAGAAAAGUGAGAAGAAUAAAAAUGGGAAAAUCAAUUUUCGAACAACCAUGAGUAAAUCAAACCAAAUUAGUAACAUGCAAGAAUAAAAUCCUACAACAAUGCAUUCAAAAAUCAUAAAAUCAAAUAAAUACCAAAAAGAACUGGAAACAAAUUAGGAAUGGAAGGAUAAAAAUAGUUAUUUUACAAUCCUCACACCUAAUACAUGCAAUCUUUGAAGAGAAAAAAACAGAUGCAGAAGAAGGGCAAAAAGACUCACCCAUUUCAAGAUGAA